UUUAAUUUUUUUUUAUGCUGACAGCAGCCCAUGAAGUAUGUCACAAACCACUAACCUACACUAGAAUACUGCUCUAGAAUUCAACCCUACUAAGAGAGUGCUGAAAUGACAAGAGUGGUUUUUCCUUCCUCUUCUCCGUACUGAAGUACGAAGUCAAUAAGACAAGAUAGGAAGGGGAAAAGCGAAGGUGCCCUCCAACACAUUUGGAGAGCUAGCCCCAAAGGUCUGACUACUCCCCUAAAAUAUGGUUUAAAAAUGCAAUCAGCUAAUACAUUCUACUUAGUCAUCACUACUCAAUGAGAGAAAAUAAUGGCUAAAUGUUGAGUAAAAAUAAAAGAACUAGAAAAUAAUUUGCAAGGUGUACAAGUAAUUCUACAUCAUAAAACACUGUAGGUUGGGCAUGGUGGCUCACACCUAUAAUCCCAGUACUUUGGGAAGGCAAGGUAGGAGGAUUGCUUGAGCCCAGGAAGUUUGAGACCAGCUUGGGCAACAUAGGGAGACCCUGCCUCUAAAACAAAUUUUUUUUAGGUAGCUGGG
rnacentral:lncRNA from 1 species